GACGAACGCUGGCGGCGUGCUUAACACAUGCAAGUCGAACGGAAAGGCCCUGCUUUUGUGGGGUGCUCGAGUGGCGAACGGGUGAGUAACACGUGAGUAACCUGCCCUUGACUUUGGGAUAACUUCAGGAAACUGGGGCUAAUACCGGAUAGGAGCUCCUGCUGCAUGGUGGGGGUUGGAAAGUUUCGGCGGUUGGGGAUGGACUCGCGGCUUAUCAGCUUGUUGGUGGGGUAGUGGCUUACCAAGGCUUUGACGGGUAGCCGGCCUGAGAGGGUGACCGGCCACAUUGGGACUGAGAUACGGCCCAGACUCCUACGGGAGGCAGCAGUGGGGAAUAUUGCACAAUGGGCGGAAGCCUGAUGCAGCAACGCCGCGUGCGGGAUGACGGCCUUCGGGUUGUAAACCGCUUUCGCCUGUGACGAAGCGUGAGUGACGGUAAUGGGUAAAGAAGCACCGGCUAACUACGUGCCAGCAGCCGCGGUGAUACGUAGGGUGCGAGCGUUGUCCGGAUUUAUUGGGCGUAAAGGGCUCGUAGGUGGUUGAUCGCGUCGGAAGUGUAAUCUUGGGGCUUAACCCUGAGCGUGCUUUCGAUACGGGUUGACUUGAGGAAGGUAGGGGAGAAUGGAAUUCCUGGUGGAGCGGUGGAAUGCGCAGAUAUCAGGAGGAACACCAGUGGCGAAGGCGGUUCUCUGGGCCUUUCCUGACGCUGAGGAGCGAAAGCGUGGGGAGCGAACAGGCUUAGAUACCCUGGUAGUCCACGCUGUAAACGGUGGGUACUAGGUGUGGGGUCCAUUCCACGGGUUCCGUGCCGUAGCUAACGCUUUAAGUACCCCGCCUGGGGAGUACGGCCGCAAGGCUAAAACUCAAAGGAAUUGACGGGGCCCCGCACAAGCGGCGGAGCAUGCGGAUUAAUUCGAUGCAACGCGUAGAACCUUACCUGGGUUUGACAUGGAUCGGGAGCGCUCAGAGAUGGGUGUGCCUCUUUUGGGGUCGGUUCACAGGUGGUGCAUGGCUGUCGUCAGCUCGUGUCGUGAGAUGUUGGGUUAAGUCCCGCAACGAGCGCAACCCUUGUUCACUGUUGCCAGCACGUUAUGGUGGGGACUCAGUGGAGACCGCCGGGGUCAACUCGGAGGAAGGUGGGGAUGACGUCAAGUCAUCAUGCCCCUUAUGUCCAGGGCUUCACGCAUGCUACAAUGGCUGGUACAGAGAGUGGCGAGCCUGUGAAGGUGAGCGAAUCUCAGAAAGCCGGUCUCAGUUCGGAUUGGGGUCUGCAACUCGACCUCAAGAAGUCGGAGUCGCUAGUAAUCGCAGAUCAGCAACGCUUCGGUGAAUACGUUCCCGGGGCU
rnacentral:rRNA from 1 species